UACGUAGGGUGCGAGCGUUUGUCCGGAAUUAUUGGGCGUAAAGAGCUCGUAGGCGGUUUGUCACGUCUGCUGUGAAAUCCCGAGGCUCAACCUCGGGCCUGCAGUGGGUACGGGCAGGCUAGAGUUCGGUAGGGGAGACUGGAAUUCCUGGUGUAGCGGUGAAAUGCGCAGAUAUCAGGAGGAACACCGGUGGCGAAGGCGGGUCUCUGGGCCGAUACUGACGCUGAGGUGCGAAAGCGUGGGGAGCAAACAGG
rnacentral:rRNA from 1 species